AACGCUAGCUACAGGCUUAACACAUGCAAGUUGAGGGGCAGCAUGGUCUUAGCUUGCUAAGGCCGAUGGCGACCGGCGCACGGGUGAGUAACACGUAUCCAACCUGCCGUCUACUCUUGGACAGCCUUCUGAAAGGAAGAUUAAUACAAGAUGGCAUCAUGAGUCCGCAUGUUCACAUGAUUAAAGGUAUUCCGGUAGACGAUGGGGGUGCGUUCCAUUAGAUAGUAGGCGGGGUAACGGCCCACCUAGUCUUCGAUGGAUAGGGGUUCUGAGAGGAAGGUCCCCCACAUUGGAACUGAGACACGGUCCAAACUCCUACGGGAGGCAGCAGUGAGGAAUAUUGGUCAAUGGGCGAGAGCCUGAACCAGCCAAGUAGCGUGAAGGAUGACUGCCCUAUGGGUUGUAAACUUCUUUUAUAAAGGAAUAAAGUCGGGUAUGUAUACCCGUUUGCAUGUACUUUAUGAAUAAGGAUCGGCUAACUCCGUGCCAGCAGCCGCGGUAAUACGGAGGAUCCGAGCGUUAUCCGGAUUUAUUGGGUUUAAAGGGAGCGUAGAUGGAUGUUUAAGUCAGUUGUGAAAGUUUGCGGCUCAACCGUAAAAUUGCAGUUGAUACUGGAUAUCUUGAGUGCAGUUGAGGCAGGCGGAAUUCGUGGUGUAGCGGUGAAAUGCUUAGAUAUCACGAAGAACUCCGAUUG
rnacentral:rRNA from 1 species